rnacentral:rRNA from 1 species
UGGGGAAUAUUGGACAAUGGGGGCAACCCUGAUCCAGCCAUGCCGCGUGUGUGAAGAAGGCCUUUUGGUUGUAAAGCACUUUAAGCAGUGAAGAGGACUCCAUGGUUAAUACCCAUGGACGAUGACAUUAGCUGCAGAAUAAGCACCGGCUAACUCUGUGCCAGCAGCCGCGGUAAUACAGAGGGUGCAAGCGUUAAUCGGAAUUACUGGGCGUAAAGCGAGCGUAGGUGGCUUGAUAAGUCAGAUGUGAAAGCCCCGGGCUUAACCUGGGAACGGCAUCUGAUACUGUUAGGCUAGAGUAGGUGAGAGGAAGGUAGAAUUCCAGGUGUAGCGGUGAAAUGCGUAGAGAUCUGGAGGAAUACCGAUGGCGAAGGCAGCCUUCUGGCAUCAUACUGACACUGAGGUUCGAAAGCGUGGGUAGCAAACA